rnacentral:lncRNA from 1 species
AUAAGAGGACUGACAUUCAGUCCUACCAAGGCAAGCCAAGCUUUCCACCUAUUUAAAUAAGCACAAACUACAUGGCUUCUUGUAAUAACGAUGAACUGAAGUAUUGAUUGCUUUAUCUCUACUUUCAAACGGUGGGCACGAUGUUCCUACAACCCCUAGGAUUUAAAACGGGAUCUUCGAAAUUUCAUCCGCAAAACAAAAUAAAAAUGUUAGAAAACACGAACCAAUAUUAAAACAAAAUCAAUAUAUUAUAUGUUUUAAAUUAUGUUUUUACAGCUCUUGAUCAUAUAGUAAGAAUUACCUAGUUUAUUUGAGGAUUAAAAUAACAAAACUAUGUGAAAAAAACGGAUGUCCAACGUUACAUUUAGGAAAAACUGUUUCAACUCUUAUGUAAAUUAAAGUGAUCCUAUUUCUUAUUUUCUGAUCUUUUUGAUUCUUGGCAGGAACAGCGACAUGUGUCGGUUCUUUGUGGCGUUAAAGCCGUUAUUUUGCCAAAUUUCAUUUCACUCGGUGGUGGUAUAUUAAGCUGGAAUAAGAAAAAUGUCCAACGACGUAUUUCGUUAACUCAACGACUGAAAGUGAAUUUUAUAAGAAUAUAUAGCAGAAAAUGAAUAAAAAGAGUAAGACAAUAAUAAUAUCUAACAAAAGUACAAAUAUUUGCCUCAUUGUUCGUGAGUUCAAAUAUUGCUGUUUCAAUAAAAUCUUCUCUACACA